ACCGGAGCUGGGAACGGACCAGGAGCAGCAGCUGGUAACGGAGCUGGGCUGGCUGGAGGAGCACAAAAGCUGCUGAGCGCUGGCAGGACCCUGGCGGACACCCGCCCAGGCUGUGCCGUGCCCCGGCAGGAGCUUUGCAGCAGCUGCUCUCCGCUGCGGGUUCAUUGUCCUGCUGCAAGGAGGCUCUGGUGGAGCUCAGAGCUGCCUUGCAGCGCCUGAAGGGGCUCUCCAGGAAGGAGUCCCUGAGCCUUCUCUCGGGUCCCCUUCAGCUGUUGAAAGGAAGCUCUAAGGUGUCCUGGAGCCUUCUCCUCUCCAGGCUGAGCAGCCACAGCUCUCUCAGGCUGCCUUCACAGCAGAGCUUCUCCCACCCUCUGCUCAUGUCUGUGGCCUGCUCUGGAACCCCUCCAGCAGGUCCCUGUCUCCCUUGUGCUGGGGUGCCCCAGAGCUGGCCCCAGCAGUCCAGGCUGAGGUGUGCCCAAAGCAGAGGGGCAGAUGGUUCACAAGCACAGACACCACAGGCUGCCCAGGGCCCUUCCCACACUGCAGCUGCAGGCUUCAGUCAGAUCCUUUUAGGAUCAGACCUGGGAGACUUGAGGGCUAAGGCACCAGCAGCUCUGUCCUGCAUGCCAGGGAAACAAGCACCAAACCAAGUGAGGCUUCUCUUAAUUGCAGUGGAAUUGCCCAAGCCAAGCACUAAGCCACUGAGCAUGCAAGUGAGCUGGGUGGCUGCAGGAGCCUGAAUAGCUUCAUGAGGCUGCUCAAACACAGUGACCAGUUGGAAGCUGCUCCCCUGUGAAGCAUUUUCACUCCCAGUGCUCUCCAAGCACCUCAUGUGUUUUGCCCAACCCUUUCCUCUUUGGCCCCAAAGGUAUUCAUGAGGUGAAAGUGAGAUCUUUGCCUUCCAGUAAGAACCAAAGAGAAAUGCUUUGCUCUAAAAGAUCUUGAAGCUUUCCUCUUGGUUUGUUGGCAUCAGCUGGGCUGAAUGCCACAUUCCUGGCCAGGUGAGCUGAGUUAAAGGCAGCUGUGGAUGAGCACAGACAAGUGCCAAGCAGAGGCCUGCUCACAAACUGCCCCAGCUGCAAGCAUGAAGUGAUGCCUCCAUCUGUCUGUCCCCUCCUUGCCUGCUGGCCAUGACCCUCACUGCAGUCCCUCUGCCUGCACUGCCUAACAGGGUCAGCAGUGCCAGAGCAGAGCAGGAGCCCCAGGCUGUCAGUGCACUCCAAUGGCUUGGGCUGCAGCUCUGCUGAGCCCUAGGUUCAACCCUCCCUUC